CUUCAUUUCACUUCUCCUAUGACUACAAUAGUCAUGGUCCCUAAACUCCCACUAUCUCUCUUGAAACUUAUUUCAAUUGUGUUUAUACACAUUAAACGAUUUGGAGACUGUGCGGUUAAUGUUCACAAUAUAGUUUACUAUAAACUUAGUGAACCAUUUGGAUGGGGACUCAAACGUGAAGUCCUUGCCUAGUUUCUGUCCCUCGAAGUGGUUUAACACUUCAACACUCAAUGAUUCAAAAUCAUCAUAAGUCCAUGUUGAUGGACUAUUUUUGUCAAUCAACCAUUAUGUUCUAUACAUAAUUACAAACUUUCAAGAGUUGUUCAAGGCAACUCUCAUUUCUUUAUACAACAAUUUGUAAGUAAAGAAUCAUGGCACAUAAAGUGUCCAUGCCUUUUGUGCUUACUUCUCAAGUUCCUUGUUCAUUUAACAAAGAAACAAGCACUAGUGUUUGCAUUAACUAAGGGUUGUUCAAAGCAACUCUUAUUUCUUCAUACAACGAUUUGUAAUGGAAGAAUUAUGACAAUAAAAGUGUUGUCCUCUUUAUGAUAGACUUAUCUAACAUGUUCUUCCAAUGAUACAUUAUCAAUAGGAAGAUUGUGAGGAUGAGACUACUUAGGUACAUAUACAAUCCAUUCAAGACAAUCUAUGGGAUUGUGGUACCAAGUCCG
rnacentral:lncRNA from 1 species